UUGCUGCAACGACAUCAGGGGAGAGAGUUCUUUUGCUUGCCGUGCCAAACCCUCCUGAUGCAAGGGAUUUGAGAGUUGCAAACUUGAGAUUCUUUUUACGUAGAAAUAUCAGCCCAAACUCAGGAGAGAAGGAAGAAACCGAUCUUCUCUUGGCUCCUCAUUCGAUCCGGCGAAACAGACUUUUCCCUGGGUUCUUGAAAGACUGACUUGAAAUUGUGGUCUGGGUUAAAUACGGGUAGAGUGACGGAGGGGGUUAUGGGCUCCCGUGUCUCAAUUGGCAGAUGCCACCGAAUCGAAGUGAGAUAGAUUAGAUGGGAUUCGGGGUUGAUGGAAGAAAGAAAGAAAAAGAGAGGGGUUUAAUUCUGAUUUGCAAUUUGGGUGAUGGAGAAUUUGAUUGAAAUUGCCAUGAAGAAAACAAAAAGGGAAUUUAAUUUAUCGGCCUUUGGGGAUAGAGAGAGGUACAUAGCAAUUAGAAAGAGUUAACUGGAUGACAGGAGGGAGGAAAAUCAUGAAGGAGACCUUAGACUUGGGUUCUGCUAACAGGAGGAGAUAAGAUGCAUGUAGUUAUGCAGAGAAGAUGAAGGAAAUAGGAAGAGCCUUUAGGAUUUGCAGCUGCUCUUGAGAAUUUGGGUUUAUCAAAGUUUGCAGUAGUCAGGUAACUUAAUUAUUGCUGCUGUCAUGUAUUUGCAAUCCAUUAUUUGCUCAAUAUAAUUAUUUUAAGGAUCGAAUUCGGAUAUAUUAUCAUUCAUGGAUCACUUUUGAUAGAUAUGCUGUGUGGAAACCGAACAUCGUCGAGAAAAAGAUUUUUUAAAUAGCAAAUAAAGGAUGAACAUCAAGAUGCACUGGGAAUUGAAAUGAUAUCUGACUAUGAAAAUACAUAAUAGCAGUGAAACUAUUACAGGUACACAACAUUACUUGAAAAACACAAUGAAGAUAUAUAAUGGAAAAUUGGUUUACUCUGUUUUCUACGGUGUAUGCACUACAUGUAGUUUAUUUCCUAAACAUUUGUAUUUUCAUUCAAUCCAUUACUUGAUGAUUUAUAUUACUUAUAUUAUAGCAAAGUAAAACUUAAAACACAAAACGCACUUCGGUAGGCGCGCGAAAGCGAAGCGCCCUUUACUGUUCACUCGUAGGCACUGUUCACUUGAUACAGUGGGAGGACUCGUUUACCCCUAAUGUUUGCUGACGUUAGAGACAUGAAAGAAGGUCAGUAUGAUCAUUGACGCACUACACGUGUUAGCUUUAGUUUGCUGCAAGGACAUCAGGGGAGAGAAUUCUUUUCUUUCCUUUUGCUUGCGGUGCAGAACCCAGGUUUGUGCCGAAACUCCAAGCUUCUUCACGAUGCAUGGGCAUUACGAGUGCAUGUGGAGUGGGUUUUCUUAGACGGUUUAGAGUUUAGACUCUCUCUCCCUCCCUCCCUCUCUCUCUCUCUCUCUCUCUCUCUCUCAAGCCUUCGAAAAUGAAGAAAAAAACGAUCAGACGAAAAUAUCUCUCUCUCUCAAGCCUUUGAAAAUGAAGAAAAAAACGAUCAGACGAAGAUAUUUUCGUGUACAUAGGAUUGGAUUAGUAAUUGAUUGGGUAAGUAGUUUGGGAUCUCUUUCUUUCCUUUUUAUUUGUUACUAAUUGAUUGGGUUUGGUUCUUGGUGAUCAAAGAUCAAUAUCAAGGACCAUUUCUGGAUUCAUUUCUCGGUUAGGUAUCUGAUUUUCUUUCUAUUUGGUACCUGCAGUUCUGACAUUGGUUUCUUUAGAUAGGGAAUUGCUUUACAUGAAAUUUCUAUCAGGAUCUUCCAAAUCAUUCCCGCAGGAGGUUCGGACCCUUUUUUUUUUCAGGUAGCUUAAGUUUGGUUUUUGAAUCGAUUUGCUUUGUUUUGCAGGUCAACUGACGGUUACAAGAUUAAUGGUAUAGUUAAGAUCCCAAUGGCUUUGUGCUGGCAAUAGUAAUGAGAAUGGCUUAUCAAUGAACUUGGAUGAUUCCGGUGAGAUAGAUACAGAAGAAGAAUGACAAUUGUGAUCAAGCCACAACAAGGAAGUACAACAAAAUGAGUUUUUUAGGUCUGAGCUCAUUAUCAUGUAGAGGAGGUAAGAGCAACGGUGAUAAGCUCAAUCUCUGUUGGAAACUCAUGGAGAAGUUUGAUCAAAAGGGUUUCUUGCUGGACUUCGUAUUGUUUCUUGCUGGACUUCGUAUUGGAUUUGGCUUAUUUUGUUUAAAUUUUGCUUUUUUAGUAACUAUGCUUCUUCAUUUGUAGUCUACUGUGUUUUUUAGGCUUUAUUUAUGUAAAAAAUGUAUUAUGACUGUAACUGUAAUUUAUGCAAUUUGACGUUAUUUAAGAUAAAUGUAUUAUUAUG